GGGGGGGGUCACUUGUUGUCGAAACUAUCACCUAACAGUUAUCAGAACUGAGAACACUUUUUUAAAUGUAUGGUAGUCUGUAUUUGAUGGCAAAUAAAUAUAUGGGAUAGAUUUAGUUUAAUUUGCCUGGCAUGCUUGUUAUGAGCGUUGGAUGACGUCUGGGUUAGCAAACUAAUUUGCUCUUCUUAUUACAGAUAUAUGACUAUGUUAUAUAUGAGUCAAAUAAAGUUGAAUUAGUCGAUACAACUAAUUAGUAAUCUUUUUAAUAUCUAUUUAUAACAAAUUUGUAAUCAAUACAUUAUAUAACUUGAUAACAAAGGUUUUUUGACUUAUUUAGGGACUUUGGGGCAAAAUUGCAAAACUGUAAUAAAAUUUGUGGAAAACAAAAUUAUAAACUUAGUUUACACGUUGUACCUGUUAUGGCUU